CUUCAAAUUUUGUAUACAGGUUUUACAUGAAAGGGUUAUGGAUUAAAGCAUGAUGAAUAGGACUCGUACAGCGGAGAAAGGUUCAAUGUCAGCCUGCAGCAGGGUGUAUCUACCUGUUUCUUUUCAUUUUCCAAGGGAAACAUAGUCCAAUACCUUGAACAGCACAAGCCUGGGAUGUGAGACUAUAGUUCAGAAGCAGGAGCUCUGGCUUAAUUCCUUUUUAGACUGAGGAGAAAUUUCAAGCCAUAUUUCCCAUAUCCUGGUCAACAGGGAGUUUUAGGGACAGAAACAGUAAGUGUGGAAGCUAAACAACUACAUCCUUCUAGAAACUGCCAUCCUGCUUGUCCUCUAGCCAUACUGAUGGAUGUUGCCUUCUUGGGUUUCACACUGGCAGACCUCCUCCAGCAGAAAGGUCGGUCCUGUGAUGAAGAAUUGUCAUCCAACCUUGUGAUACAGGACAGCAGGGCUGAAGCGGGACAUCGACUGCAGGGAAACUGUCCCUUUCUGCCAACCACAGACGUGCACUUACCAUAAAGUUUUCUCUGGAGACAGGAGAGCACAAUUUCAAGAACACUUUUAUAGAGUCUGGGCAGUGCAUGCUGCAGAUGCCUCCUCUGUCUUUGGGCAAAGCAUUUUUGGCAAACCUUGUCUUUGGCAAAGCAUUGUCUGGCAAACUGAAUGAACUGAAAACUGGAAAGUGAUGUUACUGGAUAUAAUUAGAAAAUUUUGGUCUCUGACUAGCUAUGUGAAAAAAUCUCCUAUAAAUAAUAUGAGAAGGUUCCUAAGACAGGACAUGCAGCUAAUGAUGACCAGAGGAAUGAGGGUAACCCCUAGUAACUGUAAGCCAUAGAUGCUCCAUGAAUCUGAGCUAAGGGAGCAGGGACAACCAUUCACUGGGCAAGCACAGUGACAUUUGGGUGCAUACCUUAACUUUUUCUGAGGCCGAUCUAAGUCUGAUGACAGUUGUCCUUUCACAGAGCUCUCUACUUACAGAUCUUGGAUAUAUGUGGAUUUCACUGUUGUCUGCACUGCUGAACUCAAUUAGAUUAUUAAAUACUACUCUGUUUCACUUUGUUCAGUUGUAACAUAAUAUAGCACAGUAUGUCAGAGAGAAGAACUACCUUGAACUAUUCUAAGUGCUCUUUACAUUGUAUUCCAUCUUUGGAUAUAAAUAUAAAAUAACAUUCAU